CGCAAGCGUUGUCCGGAAUUAUUGGGCGUAAAGAGCUCGUAGGCGGCCUGUUGCGUCCGCUGUGAAAUCCCGGGGCUCAACCCCGGGCGUGCAGUGGAUACGGGCUGGCUGGAGGCAGGCAGGGGAGAACGGAAUUCCUGGUGUAGCGGUGAAAUGCGUAGAUAUCGGAAGGAACACCAGUGGCGAAAGCGGCUUCCUGGUCCGACACCGACGUUCAGGCACGAAAGCGUGGGGAGCAAACCGG
rnacentral:rRNA from 1 species